CAUGGCUCAGAUUGAACGCUGGCGGCAGGCCUAACACAUGCAAGUCGAGCGGAUGAAGAGAGCUUGCUCUCUGAUUCAGCGGCGGACGGGUGAGUAAUGCCUAGGAAUCUGCCUGGUAGUGGGGGACAACGUUUCGAAAGGAACGCUAAUACCGCAUACGUCCUACGGGAGAAAGCAGGGGACCUUCGGGCCUUGCGCUAUCAGAUGAGCCUAGGUCGGAUUAGCUAGUUGGUGAGGUAAUGGCUCACCAAGGCGACGAUCCGUAACUGGUCUGAGAGGAUGAUCAGUCACACUGGAACUGAGACACGGUCCAGACUCCUACGGGAGGCAGCAGUGGGGAAUAUUGGACAAUGGGCGAAAGCCUGAUCCAGCCAUGCCGCGUGUGUGAAGAAGGUCUUCGGAUUGUAAAGCACUUUAAGUUGGGAGGAAGGGUUGUAGAUUAAUACUCUGCAAUUUUGACGUUACCGACAGAAUAAGCACCGGGCUAA
rnacentral:rRNA from 1 species